CGGUUUAAGCGUUCCUUGUCGUUUCUGGCCGCAGGCCGCUUCUGUCACGCCUGACGAGUCACGCUCUGGUGACGUAAUCACGCCAUUGCUGGAGAUUUCCAGAAAAUACCACCAGAGGCCGUGAUUCAUCAGUUUUUUUUCCAGUUUAAAAACAAAUCACCACGAUAUAGAUCUGAAGUAUUAGAUUUAAUGCGACGUGUGACACUGUGAGUUGUAGUUUAUUUAUUUUUUUAAAAUAAGAAUAUUAUUUCAAUAUAAAAAGUAGGCCUAUUUCUGAAAAAAAAGAAGAAAAGAAAUCGAUCACAUACAAAACAGUAAUGUUUAAGUUUACAGUGAAUAAUAAACGCUCAGUCGGGUGCUAGUCUUGCAAAUGUAGAUGAUUGUCUCCAGUCCCCGGUGAUGGAAAGAUAAUGCAUCGCACCAGAGGCGGACUGGGACACCUGUCAGCAUCCUGACAGCACGGAGAAGAGGCGUUAGUCAAAUGGACUCUGAUCGCUGCUGACCUGUUUGUUCUGACGCUUCCUGUAACAAAAGAGAAGGUACAGGCAAAAGACGUUCAAUGAGGACGAGGUUAAAAGAUCUUUUUGGUUUUCUUGAGAGCAGCUCUGAUCGUUAGGAUGAGUUCAAUGAGUUCUGGCUUCUUUAAUGAAAGUAUAGGAAACGUCCCGUGCCAUAUAUUAGGCUUUGCCUGGGUACUUUCACCACAAGGUGGCGGUAAUGCUGUUUCUUUUUCUGUUUGAGUGAACCUCACUAAAUUAUAUGUAAUGCUUUUUCUAAUACGUGUAUUUGUCAUUACAAAUAAAUGAUAUGGGUUCGGUUUAUGAUGUAGAAAGGGUAAAUAUUAGGCUCUGUGUUCUUUUGAGUGAAUUACCUCUGUAUUCAUGAACAGAGAUUUGCCUUUUUGUUGUAUGUCUGCAACGAUACGAAGUUUUACCAAGUUAAAUGCCUUUCGAUAAAAUAUCCCGUUAAUAAUUUAUAAUGAAACAGUAAUUAUAAAGCUAACCAUAACGUAAACCAACAAAACAGCACCAGCUGAGAAAGGCAAGAUACAGUCGGGAUUAUUUAUUUGAAAGAUUUUACUUUGUGGUAAAUUUAUUAGCCUAAUUAUCUAAUCUAAUAGAUAACUAUUAAUCAUAAGUAAC